UAAAACCAUAUUUGUGGAGUUGGAACGUUUGCCUACGUUUGCCGCUAGGGGCGCUGUUCCAACUCCAUACAAAUUUGAGUUA
rnacentral:pre_miRNA from 1 species